UACGUAGGGUGCAAGCGUUGUCCGGAAUUAUUGGGCGUAAAGAGCUCGUAGGCGGUCUGUCGCGUCUGCUGUGAAAACUCGGGGCUUAACUCCGGGCCUGCAGUGGGUACGGGCAGACUAGAGUGCGGUAGGGGAGACUGGAAUUCCUGGUGUAGCGGUGAAAUGCGCAGAUAUCAGGAGGAACACCGGUGGCGAAGGCGGGUCUCUGGGCCGUAACUGACGCUGAGGAGCGAAAGCAUGGGGAGCGAACGG
rnacentral:rRNA from 1 species